GCUACUUCCUGCUAUAAAGGAGCAAGGUAGUCAGGGGUCUCUGAUUUUUGGCCAGGUACCAUCCAAGAAAUAUUUGCUUGACAGUUUGGUUGGUAAAGGUCCUCAUCUUUGCCAUGAGAAUAGUUAUCUAUAAUGCAAAACACAAUUAAAAUGUCACUGCUUGG